CGAUCACUUCUAGCUUAUUGUUCGUAUGUGUUUGAGUCUUUCUCCAAAAUAAUUAGUCUAUCCGUAUUUUCAAUUUUGCAUAUCAGCUUUCCAAUUGUAAAUCUACAUUUUGUGCGGACAAAUUUGGAAAUCAAGUUACAUUGUUCAUCAUCACUUGCAUCAUAUACGAUUUCUUUAUAAGAAUCAUCUGUUACACUUUCGUCGGUUCUUAUAUUUGAAUCCCUAAUUUGUUUCGUUAUAUCAUUAAUAUUUGAAG
rnacentral:lncRNA from 1 species